AUGGUUGAUUUUCAAAAAUAUUAUCUUGUUCUAUAUAUAAAAAAAAAGUGUAGGCUAUAUAAUAGUCCUAUUCCAUUUCAUAAGGAUCUCAUGGAUAUCACCAGCCAAAGUAAUUUACAAUUUACUUUUGCCUCUUAUAAUGAAUGGAUGCUUCAAGUCUGCUGCAACAAAUUACAUGGAUGCUAUAGUAAGGGAUGGAGAAGAUCAACUCAAAGCUUGUGAUCUAUGUUGAAAAGCAUGGCCAUGGAAACUGGUGUUCAGUUCCAGAGAAAGCGGGUCUUCAAAGAUGUAGAAGGAGCUGCAGACUGAGGUGGAUUAGCGACCUCAAACCAGAGACAACAUGAGGAAACUUUAGUUUCGCAGAGGAUCACACAAUUAUUGAACUCCAUGCUCUCGGGAACAAAUCGAUGGUCAAUCAUAGCAUCUCACUUGCCCAAUACAACAAAUAAUGAGAUCAAGAAUUAUUGGAACACCAACAUCAAGAAAAGGCUUAUGAGAAAGGGCAUACAUUCAAUUACUCACGGACAAAAAGCCACUACCUUUAAUUUGAAGACCAGUCAAAGGAUGCUGUCAAUAUGAAGCACAUAGAGCAACAAGAAAGUGCUAGAUUUGAAGCUAAAGCUAGAAAAUCCAUGCAAGUUGGAUCCAACUCUUUCAUUCCCCCGGUUCAUUAGAAUCACUAUCAACCAAACAUAACAACAUUGUAUAUAACAUUUAUGUUCUCAUGCUUGUUAUAUAUUAUGACCUUCAAUCACUAAUAUUCACAUUGAGCUUCUUAGGUAGAAAGCUUAUUAAUGUCUAAACUAAUGUAGGAUAAUUUACUAACAUUGCAACUUUCACUUUCAUAUAAGGAUUAUGAUAAUGUUAUAGAAAUUAGUAGUCAAAUUCAAAAAAUAAUGAAAAACUAUGUGUUAAACUUGUAAGAUGGUGACAUUAUGAUGGUUAUGAAUGUAAAAAUGACCUUCUAUAUUGGAUCAAGUUACAACCAAUGUAAAAAGUGAUUUACAUCCAUAACUAUCACAAUAUCAUCAUCUUGCAAGUUUGACACAUAAUUUUUUAUUAUCUUUUGAGUUUGACUAUUAAUUUCUACAAUAUUAUCAUAACCCUUAUAUGAAAGUGAACUUUCAAUUUUAGUAAUUAUCCUACAUUAGUUUGGAUAAUAAGCUUUUUACAUAAGAAACUCAAUGAGAAUAUUAGUGAUUGAAGGUCAUGAUAUAUAACAAGCAUGAGGAUAUAAAUGUUAUAUAUAAUGUUGUUGUGUUUGGUUGAUAGUGAAUCUAAUGAACCGGGGGAAUGAAAGAAUUGGAUUCAACGUGCAACAAGAAUUUUUUGCUCAUUGUUUAUUGUUUUUGGAUUAGUCACCACCAUAGGCUUUAAAGGUGUUGACUUUUAGUUUGUAGAUAAUGGAUCUAUACUAAUUUCAAUAAGUCCAUUUGUUUUUAAAAUUAA